AGUAACGGCGAGUGAACAGGGAAAAGCCCAAAUUUGUAAUCUGGCACUUUUUACAAGUGUCCGAGUUGUAAUUUGUAGAGCUGUUAUCCGUACUGGACCAUGUACAAGUCUGUUGAAAAGCAGCAUCAUUGAAGGUGAAAAUCCUGUAGAUGAUAUGGACUACCAGUAUAUUUGUGAUACGGUUUCUAAGAGUCGAGUUGUUUGGGAAUGCAGCUCAAAGUGGGUGGUAAAUUCCAUCUAAGGCUAAAUAUAAGUGAGAGACCGAUAGCAAACAAGUACCGUGAGGGAAAGAUGAAAAGAACUUUGAAAAUAGAGUUAACAGUACGUGAAAUUGCUGAAAGGGAAACGUUUGAAGUUAGUUUUGUAUUCGUUGGAUCAGCUUCGCAAGGAGUGUAUUCUGAUGAUAAGCAAGUCAACAUCAGUCUAUGAGUGUUGGAUAAGGGUUUUGAGAAUGUAGCAAUUUAAUUGUGUUAUAGCUUGAGACUUGGAUACAAUGCUUUGGAUUGAGGAACGCGUAGUAAGCUUUGAGCGGAUUCGAAAGAAUCUCCUUACUAUGGAUGUUGGUGAAAUAACUUUAAGCGACCCGUCUU
rnacentral:rRNA from 2 species